UACGUAGGGCGCAAGCGUUGUCCGGAAUUAUUGGGCGUAAAGAGCUCGUAGGUGGCUUGUUGCGUCUGCCGUGAAAGCCCGUGGCUUAACUGCGGGUCUGCGGUGGAUACUGGCAGGCUAGAGUGCGGGAGAGGAGAGUGGAAUUCCUGGUGUAGCGGUGAAAUGCGCAGAUAUCAGGAAGAACACCCGUGGCGAAGGCGGCUCUCUGGAACGCAACUGACGCUGAGACGCGAAAGCGUGGGGAGCAAACAGG
rnacentral:rRNA from 1 species